UUCCAACGUAGCCCUUUAUUUCCUGAAGAAUAUCAAUUACAUGUUUCGUAGCAGUACUUUUAACAGCUCUCAGUACAGUAAAUUUCGUGAAUGCAUCGAAUAUCACGAAAAUAUGCUCAUUCCGCUUCGAACUCUUUGGAAAUGGUCCCAGCUGGUCCAUGUGAACUGUAAAGAACGGUAUUGGUCUGAUGUCAUCCUGGCGGCCUCCUGGUAUCUUAUACAAGUAGGGGGUAUAAAAGGGGGUAAACAAUUCAACAACAAUAAACAAUUUUAAAGUUGCGCUAAACAAGAGGAGAUCCAAAACUAUUGACGGGCCACGGCUGGACUCUGGCGUACCCACCCUGCCUGAGAUGGCCACAUCGACGCCAUCUCCCUUGCGUUGGGCAUCACCUCAGAGGCUGAUUCUCGUCCGUCGUAAUGCCUCUCAUCCAUAUCAAAAACUCACACGACCAACUUAAUCGUUGCAAGUACAGCUGUAUUAUUAUACAUUUUUCUUAUUUAUUAAUAUUUAAUUUAUUUACUUAAAUUUUAAAGAACAACUUUGUGUGACACGUAUGCCAAAGAACAAGGCAA